AGUGAACGCUGGCGGUAGGCCUAACACAUGCAAGUCGAACGGCAGCACAGUAAGAGCUUGCUCUUACGGGUGGCGAGUGGCGGACGGGUGAGGAAUACAUCGGAAUCUACUUUUUCGUGGGGGAUAACGUAGGGAAACUUACGCUAAUACCGCAUACGACCUACGGGUGAAAGCAGGGGAUCUUCGGACCUUGCGCGAUUGAAUGAGCCGAUGUCGGAUUAGCUAGUUGGCGGGGUAAAGGCCCACCAAGGCGACGAUCCGUAGCUGGUCUGAGAGGAUGAUCGGCCACACGGAAACUGGGACACGGUCCAGACUCCUACGGGGGGCGGCGUUGGGAAAAUUUGGACAUUGGGCGAAGCCCGAAUCAGCCAUACCGCGUGGGUGAAGAAGGCCUUCGGGUUGUAAAGCCCUUUUGUUGGGAAAGAAAAGCAGCAGGUUAAUACCCCGCUGUUCUGACGGUACCCAAAGAAUAAGCACCGGCUAACUUCGUG
rnacentral:rRNA from 1 species